rnacentral:rRNA from 1 species
GAAGAUGCAGUGUACCCGCGGCAAGACGGAAAGACCCCGUGAACCUUUACUAUAGCUUGACACUGAACAUUGAGCCUUGAUGUGUAGGAUAGGUGGGAGGCUUUGAAGCGUGGACGCCAGUCUGCGUGGAGCCAACCUUGAAAUACCACCCUUUAAUGUUUGAUGUUCUAACGUUGGCCCCUGACCGGGGUUGCGGACAGUGUCUGGUGGGUAGUUUGACUGGGGCGGUCUCCUCCCAAAGCGUAACGGAGGAGCACGAAGGUUAGCUAAUCCUGGUCGGACAUCAGGAGGUUAGUGCAAUGGCAUAAGCUAGCUUGACUGCGAGCGUGACGGCGCGAGCAGGUGCGAAAGCAGGUCAUAGUGAUCCGGUGGUUCUGAAUGGAAGGGCCAUCGCUCAACGGAUAAAAGGUACUCCGGGGAUAACAGGCUGAUACCGCCCAAGAGUUCAUAUCGACGGCGGUGUUUGGCACCUCGAUGUCGGCUCAUCACAUCCUGGGGCUGAAGUAGGUCCCAAGGGUAUGGCUGUUCGCCAUUUAAAGUGGUACGCGAGCUGGGUUUAGAACGUCGUGAGACAGUUCGGUCCCUAUCUGCCGUGGGCGCUGGAGAAUUGAGGGGGGCUGCUCCUAGUACGAGAGGACCGGAGUGGACGCAUCACUGGUGUUCGGGUUGUCAUGCCAAUGGCACUGCCCGGUAGCUAAAUGCGGAAGAGAUAAGUGCUGAAAGCAUCUAAGCACGAAACUUGCCCCGAGAUGAGUUCUCCCUGAGACUUUAAGUCUCCUGAAGGAACGUUGAAGACGACGACGUUGAUAGGCCGGGUGUGUAAGCGCAGCGAUGCGUUGAGCUAACCGGUACUAAUGAACCGUGAGGCUUAACCUUACAACGCCGAAG